rnacentral:lncRNA from 1 species
UGACAUUUUUGUGAUGCUUCCCCAUUUUUGUUGGUGGUGCAAUUACUUUGAUUCCAACACUAAAAUGUGGUCAAAUCACUGCGAAAGUGCCAAAGGAUUAAGUAACAGUUUAUGUCAGAGCAUUUACUUUACUGUCACGCGAAUGAACUGCUGUUACAACAUCGAUUAUUCAAGUCAGUUUUAUUUAUGUAGCCCAAUAUCACACAUUUUUCUUCACAAUCUGUGCAGUAUAUAACUCCCUCAAAGUAUUCUCAUUGGCAGGACAAACAUGGACUCCAUGGACAAAGGUGUGCUGCUGGUCCUGUUGUGUCUGCAGGCUUUCCUGCUCAUCACUGCCUUCACUUCUACUGAUGCAGCCGCUCUGCCUAGAGAAGAUCAACUGCCUCUUGGGGAGAGAAGACCACCACCAAAAGGGAAGCCAAGCUAUUGGCUCGGCUGUUGGGGAAGAAUAGAGGGAUGUAACUCUUUCAGAGUGCCCCCUACUAAUAAUCCUGAGUUGAAUUUACUUGUCAAGCAACUUAAGAAGACGUCAACAUGAUGCGACAACAACAGAAGUUUGAAACAAGCUUUUGCAGAACUGCCAUGCUACGUUUAGGAGUGGAAGAGAAUAUCUACUGUAUGCUGUACUGCUUAUGAAAUCUGCCAUAAUUGCAAAAUAAACAAAUUCAAAUCAGAUAUUGUGUGAUUGUCCAGUUGUUUUGUCAUUUUUUUCAGACCAGACAUUAACCAGCUUGUAGGAUUUAGAGGCUUUCUAG